rnacentral:rRNA from 1 species
AGAGUUUGAUCCUGGCUCAGGAUGAACGCUGGCGGCGUGCUUAACACAUGCAAGUCGAACGAAGAUGCCGGAGUGCUUGCACUUUGGCAGACUGAGUGGCGGACGGGUGAGUAACGCGUGGGUAACCUGCCUUAUACAGGGGGAUAACAGUUGGAAACGACUGCUAAUACCGCAUAAGCGCACGGUAUCGCAUGAUACAGUGUGAAAAACUCCGGUGGUAUAAGAUGGACCCGCGUCUGAUUAGCUUGUUGGUGAGGUAACGGCCCACCAAGGCGACGAUCAGUAGCCGGCCUGAGAGGGUGAACGGCCACAUUGGGACUGAGACACGGCCCAAACUCCUACGGGAGGCAGCAGUGGGGAAUAUUGCACAAUGGGGGAAACCCUGAUGCAGCGACGCCGCGUGAGUGAAGAAGUAUUUCGGUAUGUAAAGCUCUAUCAGCAGGGAAGAUAAUGACGGUACCUGACUAAGAAGCACCGGCUAAAUACGUGCCAGCAGCCGCGGUAAUACGUAUGGUGCAAGCGUUAUCCGGAUUUACUGGGUGUAAAGGGUGCGUAGGUGGUAUGGCAAGUCAGAAGUGAAAGGCUGGGGCUCAACCCCGGGACUGCUUUUGAAACUGUCAAACUAGAGUACAGGAGAGGAAAGCGGAAUUCCUAGUGUAGCGGUGAAAUGCGUAGAUAUUAGGAGGAACACCAGUGGCGAAGGCGGCUUUCUGGACUGAAACUGACACUGAGGCACGAAAGCGUGGGGAGCAAACAGGAUUAGAUACCCUGGUAGUCCACGCCGUAAACG